rnacentral:tRNA from 1 species
GGAGGUGUCGCAUAGUGGUCUAGUGCGCUCGCUUGGAAAGCGGGUAUACCCUAAACCGGUAUCGAGGGUUCGAAUCCCUCCACCUCCUCCA